rnacentral:tRNA from 2 species
GCCCCCGUAGCUCAGAGGAUAGAGCGUCGGUUUCCUAAACCGUGCGUCCCAGGUUCGAGUCCUGGCGGGGGCGCCA